AAAGGAAUUUAUUAAAAAGAGAAGAAUAUACAAGAGAAUGAAGAAUCUUUCUUUCUUAGAGAAAAAAGUAGUAAGCUAUCUGUUUCGUUUAUUUUUUUAGAAAUGAACUCAGCUAGAAAUUUGAAAUAAGUAGGUUUCGAAGGUGGGUUCUCGAGUAUCGAUUAUUAAGCCUUUAGCCAAUUGUCCUAGAUACUGUUGGUAAGAAAUAUAGAAGUUGAACGGAAAAAAAAAAAGUAAAGAAGAGAGUUA
rnacentral:lncRNA from 1 species